GCAAGCGUUGUCCGGAAUUAUUGGGCGUAAAGAGCUCGUAGGCGGUCUGUCGCGUCGGCUGUGAAAACCCGAGGCUCAACCUCGGGCCUGCAGUCGAUACGGGCAAACUAGAGUACUGCAGGGGAGACUGGAAUUCCUGGUGUAGCGGUGAAAUGCGUAGAUAUCAGGAGGAAUACCGAUGGCGACGGCAGGUCUCUGGGCUGACACUGACGCUCAUGCACGAAAGCGUGGGGAGCAAACAGG
rnacentral:rRNA from 1 species